GAAGGUAGCGUAAUCAUUUGUCUUUUAAAUAGAGACCUGUAUGAAUGGCAUAACGAGGGUUUAACUGUCUCCCUCCCCUAGUCAAUGAAAUUGAUCUGCCCGUGCAGAAGCGGACAUAAACACAUAAGACGAGAAGACCCUAUGGAGCUUUAGACAAAAGAUCAAACAUGUAAAGAAACCAAACUAACCAAAAGGAACACAAGGGCCACAAAACCCGACGUAAAAUGAUCCAAAUGUCUUCGGUUGGGGCGACCAUGGGGGAAAGAAAAGCCCCCACGAGGAACUAGGGGCAAUCCAUUAAGUCAAGAGAUACACCUCUAAACAACAGAAAAUCUGACCAAAAAUGACCCAGGACACUAAUCCUGAUCAACGAACCAAGUUACCCUAGGGAUAACAGCGCAAUCCUUUCCCAGAGUCCAUAUCGACGAAAGGGUUUACGACCUCGAUGUUGGAUCAGGACAUCCUAAUGGUGCAGCCGCUAUUAAGGGUUCGUUUGUUCAACGAUUAA
rnacentral:rRNA from 1 species